rnacentral:rRNA from 1 species
AUUGAACGCUGGCGGCAGGCCUAACACAUGCAAGUCGAACGAGUGGCGGACGGGUGAGUAAUGACUGGGAAACUGCCCGAUGGAGGGGGAUAACUACUGGAAACGGUAGCUAAUACCGCAUACCAUCGGAUGUGCCCAGAUGGGCUUAGGUAGUAGGUGGGGUAAAGGCUCACCUAGGCGACGAUCCCUAGCUGGUCUGAGAGGAUGACCAGCCACACUGGGACUGAGACACGGCCCAGACUCCUACGGGAGGCAGCAGUGGGGAAUAUGGCACAAUGGGCGCAAGCCUGAUGCAGCCAUGCCGCGUGUAUGAAGAAGGCCUUCGGGUUGUAAAGUUCUUUCGGUGGGGAUGCGUUAGUCGCAGAAUAAGCACCGGCUAAAUCCGUGCCAGCAGCCGCGGUAAUAG